GGGCCCGCACAAGCGGAGGAACAUGUGGUUUAAUUCGAUGAUACGCGAGGAACCUUACCCGGGCUUGAAAUGGAGAGGAAUACAGGUGAAAGCUUGUAGCCAGCAAUGGCCUCUUUGUAGGUGCUGCAUGGUUGUCGUCAGCUCGUGCCGUGAGGUGUCGGCUUAAGUGCCACAACGAGCGCAACCCCUGCCGUCGGUUGCCAGCGGGUAAUGCCGGGGACUUCGAUGGGACUGCCACCGUAAGGUGCGAGGAAGGUGGGGAUGACGUCAAAUCAGCACGGCCCCUACGUCCGGGGCGACACACGUGUUACAAUGGGGGGUACAGCGAGCAGCUACCCGGCGACGGGAUGCCAAUCUCCAAAGCCCCUCCCAGUUCGGAUCGGAGUCUGCAACUCGACUCCGUGAAGUUGGAUUCGCUAGUAAUCGCGCAUCAGCCAUGGCG
rnacentral:rRNA from 1 species